rnacentral:rRNA from 1 species
UACGUAGGAGGCAAGCGUUGUCCGGAAUCACUGGGCGUAAAGGGUGCGUAGGCCGCACGGUAAGUCAGGUGUGAAAGCCCGGAGCUCAACUCCGGAAUUGCACCCGAUACUGCCGUGCUUGAGGACUGGAGAGGAGAUUGGAAUUCACAGUGGAGCAGUGAAAUGCGUAGAUAUUGUGAGGAACACUAGUGGCGAAGGCGAAUCUCUGGACAGUUCCUGACGCUGAGGCACGAAGGCCAGGGGAGCAAACGGG